GUGCUGCUAUGGGGGCUACAAAGACCAUCACGUCUGGACCUUGCCCUCAAGGAGCUCACAGUCUAAAGAGGGAGAAC
rnacentral:miRNA from 1 species